AUAAAAGGGAGUGAGGAGAAGGCUCAGCAAUGGACUUUACCUGCUCUGUGGAGCAAUGGAAAGUACAAACUCCAUCGUGAGUGAUAUGGCCUUGAAAACUAAGGAGCAGGGGUUAGAAUUUGCCUCCCUGAAACUGAAUGUUGAACGUGGAUGACAGCAUCGGGACAGGCCUCCAGAUGGUGCAGAGAGACGACUGGCAAGCUGAAGUGUGAUAAUGAGGGUAAUACACAUGUACACGACUUUAUAGUGGCUUUGCUGCAGUGUGUGGGGUCAUCUUCUAUGACCUCCGUGGAGCAUGAUGGCUGAGGAACACCCAGUCUAAGCCUAGAGCAUGCUGCCCUGAGAGUGAGUCUUCUGGAAGGAGGCACAGGCUCUGCAUCAGAUGGGCCUGCAUUCCCACCCGGCUCUUUCACUGAGAGAUUUGUGGGGCAUGGGGCAAAUCAGCCAUAAAGCUCUGUUUCCUCAAUAGUGUGCUGGGGAUGAUAUUGGUACUGCCUGCUAGUAGGUAUUUUGAGGGAUAAAUGAUACAAUGGAGCUAAAGCCUUUAGAAAAGUGACUGGCACUUCAAAGCACGGAAAGAAUAAGUGUUAGCUAUUAUCACCAUUGUGCUUUUUGCCCGCCAUGCCACAGCAUAAACACUUUUCCAUGUUUUUCACAAUCACGAUUUUUUUUCGCAAUCAUGAUUUUUAAUGGCUGCAUGAAAUUAUAUUUUAGGGAUAUGCUAGAGUUUAAUUAUUCCUCUCUCACUGAAUAUAUUUUCAGGUUUUUUGUACGUGAUGCUGGAAGGAAGAUCUUAAUAGACAAAUCUUUCUUUGGUGGUUCUGUUCACUGUGUUCUUAGGAUUGUUUCCUAUCAGUGGAGUAGCAAGGUGGGAGCAGUUGAAAAAUUUCAAGGUUAUUAAUACAUAUUAAAGAGUUGCACCUGUUUACUCUCACAUGAUACCUACGUUAUGGAACCCCCGCUCCUUGUCAAGGUCAUUCUUGAGUAUUACCAUGCAACUUAAUUAGUUUUUCUUAUUGUAAAAUCCAGACUAUAUGUUACAUCAUCUUUACACUUUGUAUGUUUUGAGUUUUAAAACAUAGAGGAAGUUGUAUUUAAUUUGCAAUCACAUUUAUUUAGACGGAUUUUUGUAUAUAAUUGCUUUUGGUGCACACCAUCCAAUCUUUUGUACUCUUGAUUUUACCACUCUUGGGCUCUUUCAUUUUCUUUGUCACUAAUCAGUUACAGUAUCUUCAAUUAUUAUUUUUUCAAGAAGGUUUUAUGGAUGGUAUGAUUUCUUAAGCAUUUUUUGUUUUCACACAUAAAAGACAACUUGACCGGGCGAAAAAUUCUUAUGUAAAAACCACCAAAAAUGAUUUGUCUCUAAGAUGCCAAAUUGCCUGAUAGAAAUAGAAAAUGUGUAAGCAGGCAGUUUUUUUUUUUCUUCUCAAGAGCUAACAGAGUCUAUAGAGCUUUAGAACAGAGUUCUCCAAUAGAACUUUCUACCAUGGGGAGAAUGUUAUAUAGUCUGUACUAUCCAGUGCGGCAGCCACUGGCCUCUUGAAGUUAUUUAGCACUUGAAAUAUGGCUAGUGCAGCUGAGGAACUGGAUUUUAAUUUUUUAAAGUUUACUCAAAUUAAAUGUAAACACUGAUCAUGUGGCUAGUGGCUUCCAGAUUAGACACCACAAUUCUAGAAAUAUAGAAUGGAAAGGAAGCCUAGAAGCUCAGAUCAAUUUUGCUGCCUUGAGCAGGUCAGAUUAUCUUCCCGGGUCUCAGUUUCCCUGUCUAUGAAAUGAUACAGCUUUCUCAAGACCACGUAAGAAGUUAAUGUUAAAGCUUACACCAGAGUCUUAAGAAACUCUCAGCUCAGAAUUGUCUUUUUCAGGCCAUGGUGCAAACGAAUAGUUGAAGCUUUAAGCUGUGAUGCCAAAGAUAAUAAAUUAAGAUUCAUUUUUUUUCCCCAAUUCCCUUGCCUUUCAAGCUAAUAGCCUUGGUGCACCUGACCACCCUACCUAAAUUGGCAUUCCUAGUAGUUCCUUAUUCCUAUAUCCUGCUUAAUUUUUCUUUCUUUAUCAUUACUCGAAAUUACAUAAAAUAUUUGUGUAAGCGUACAUUUGUCUGUUCCCCCCCCAGGAGGUUAGCUCCAUGGAAUCAGGGACCUUGGCUAAGGCUGUGUCUUCAUUGUUUGGAAAGGGCUCGAUGCACAGCAUGUACUCCUUACCUCCUUGUUGAGGGAGUGGAUGAGUGAAAAAAAAAAUCUAUUCAUUAAAGUCAAUUAGGGAAAGUUUGCAGUCCGGUCGAAGAGGAGGAGGCGGUUGCUGCUUUACCCGCUCACAUAGAGAUUUUAGUUUUCAGUUAACAGUUUAGUUUCAAUUUGAGAUUUUAUCUUUUUGAGCUCUGUACCAUUGGGUAGGCAUGCUGUCACGCAGAGGCAUUUUCUCCCCAAUUAAACGAUCAGUCCCAGAGAACAGCUCAGCUCUUACUGUUUUUAUUGCUCCCACUACACUUGGGUCGACAUUCGGAGGAGGUCGAUGCAUUCACCUGAAGGAUGACUGAGACCUGGCCCAGGAAGACCUUUUGUUCCCUGAAAUCACUCUCAGCUGCAUAUGCAUCUGUAAAAUGGGGAAGUACUACCUGCACCGUGGUAUUGACAUGAAGACAUCAAUGCAAGGACACAGGAAAAGCAUCCAAUACAAUGCCUGUCAAUGUGCAUUGCCUUCUCUCUCCCAUUCUAACCCUAAAGGUUAAGCUCAAGGAAGUGGAGGAGCAGUGCUCCAAAUCCAGAUUUUCUGCCUCAAAAUACUGUACUCUUUUGAUCACACCGGGCUUGGUCCCCAGCCUGUCUGCCUGAGUGCUACUCAACAUCAUUGAGUUUCGGGGAGAGUGGGAACGGGGGUGGGGAUUGACUUUCAAGGACUAUUCCAGGCCAAGUCUUCUCAAUCCUGUCCAGCUCACGUGGAUGUGUAUGGGCAAAGCAAUCCUGAAUAGGCGGGCUGUGGUCAGCCUGACCCAGCACCUUGCCUCAUCGAGCUGCACGUCUACUCUGAGAGUCUAUAAAUGCCGCGGAGCCCUCACAAUGAAACCCUUCACAAUGGAGUGCCUGGAUUUUAUUGAGAAAAGCCAAUCCCCUCCCAUCUGUCAUUUGGCACUUAGUACUGUAGUUAUUCUAGAUGAGUGAACACUUGUGUUAUAUUUUCCAAUAGCAAAACUGGGGUCACCAGGGUGCCUGCUGUUUUAGCCGAAUCCAGAUGGGGUUUUCCUAUAAACAAGUGCACACGGAAUAUUUAUGCCGCCCGUGGCACCUGACGCCUUAAUACUCAGGACUUCUAUGUAGUAGCCACUCUUCCUAUAAGUCACUUUAGCACACUAAGUAAAUAUUUUAAUAUAGCCAUGUCACUGUUUAUUAUAGAAUGGCUUGGGCCCAGAUCUUGCCUAAUGCUUGGUUAAAAAGUCAGUUUAUACCAUCCUUUAAAGUGAAUCAAAGAAUGCAUAAACGCCACUCUUUUGUUACUCAGAACUCUGUUUACUUUACUUUUCUGUAAACCUUGUGAAAUGCUUGCUUACAAAAAGCUGACAGAUGCCAGAUUUGCUCAUUAACUGGAGGUGUUUUCCAAGUCGGGAAGGUGAGGUGUGAAUGUGGGAGGUGGGGCUUCUUCUCCGAGGCCAUCUCCCAGCGUCCACUGCCCGGGGGGCCUGCUGUCUUGCUUGGGGAUCUUGACCCAGAGCUGCCAAGCAGUGAAUGGGACUGAGAAACACCAAGUCAGGGUCCUGGCUCCUAAGUCAAGCCCUGCUUCUGCCUUGAAACAGUAAAGGCCACCUGGGCACCCUGAGACUUGGAAGGACUUGAAAGGUUCAGAGUCCAAUCCUCUGCCUUCAUCAGGCACCCAUUUAAAACAAGUGAUAAUAUUCAUCGUGUGAAAACCUUGUGAUAUUUACCAGUUCUUAGUGCCAUUUAAUUUCUAAGCCUCACCCUGAAGACUCAGACGUUCCCUACAGGCAUGGCAACUGAAAUGUUGAUAUGUGCUUUCAGGUGCCUCAGAGGUUUAAUGCUUAUGUUCUUGGUUAAAUUUAAAAUGUGUGGAAUAGAUAAAUCAAUACAUGACAUGAAGCUAUAUUUUUACAUUAAAAAUUGGUGUUUAAUGAAAUAAAAUGAUGAAUCAGUUAAGAACUUUGUGUAAGAAAUAGACAGAAGUUUACAGGAGUAGAGCCCUUUAAGAAGGAAGUAAUGAUUCCCUCUCAGUGUGUUGCUCAUCAUUUCCUUGAGGGUCAUUUCCCUAAGACCGAGUCUGCCCCAAGUAAUGUUCAUAAAAGGUCCAAUGAGGCUUCUCUGGGUUAAAAGGAAAAUAGCUACAACCUGGCAGUAAGUUCCAUUGGAUUCUGGAUUUUUUUCAGCACAAGAUGUCACUUUUGACUUGUUAAAGUCUCUUCAUGAGCACUUAAAGUACAUCUCCAUGGAAGUUCUGUUUAUAUAGAAAUAACAUUUAUUGCUUUUUACUAUUUGUGGUAGUCAGAAUAAUGGCUCCCCACAGAUGUCCAGGUCCUACUGCCCAGAAUCUAUGAAUACGUUACAUAACAUGGCCAAGGGGAAUUAAAGUUGCAGGUGGGAUUAAGGUUGCUAAUCAGCUGACCUUAAAAUAGGGAGAGUGUUCUGGAUUAUCUGAGUGGGCCCAAUGCAAUCACAAGAGUCCUUAAAAGUGGAAGAGGGAGGCAGAAGUCAGAGGUCGGAGUGAUGCAGUGUGAGAAGGACUCAACCUACUGUUGUUGGCUUUGAAGUUGAAGGAAAGGGGCCACAAGCCAAGGAAUGUGAAUGCCCUGGAGAAGCUGGAAAAGCUAAGAAAACAAAUUCUCCUCUGGAGCCUCCAGCAAAGUGCUGACCCUUGCCAACACCUUGAUUUUAGCCAAGUGAGAUGCAUAAAGCACUUCUGUCUUAGAGAACCAGAAGAUAAUAAAUUUGUAUUAAGUAGCUAAAUUUGUGGCAAUUUGUUGCCGCAGGAAUAAAAAAAACUAAUACACCAUUUAUGAGAGGAAAAGCCUUGCAAGAAAAGAUUUAGAAAAUAGCAAAAUGUAUGCAAAAUAAAAUAAAAAUGACCAUAUUUGACCAUGUACAAAGACACUUAUUAACAAACCUCUAGUUCUUUUUUACAUUGAACACGUUACUUUGAAAAGUGUGGAAUCACAUUGUCACCUCAUCUGCUUUUAUCACCUGGCCUUAUAUUGUAAGCAAUUUCCCACACCUUUAAAUGUUAUAGAAAACUUAUAUUUCACUUGGUAGAUAUCCUACAAUUUAUCUAAUCAAUCACCUAUAUUUUGUUUCUGUGACAAAUAUGCUUAUAUAUCUUUGAUGAUUUUCUUAGUAAAAAUUCCUAGAAUUAAAAUUACUGCAUGACAAAUGUAUGAAUAUUGUUAGUUUUUAAAAUACAUAUUACUGUGUCAUCCUCCAGAAAGACUGUUAAUUUCCAUCUCACAGGCAGCAUAUGAUUAUAGCUGUUCCUCCUCACCACUGACAAACCCUGGGCGUUAUCGCUUUUUGAAAUUGCCAUGUUGAAAGGUGAAGAAGAGUAUGGCAUUGCUUUAAUCUGCAUUUCUUUGAUGACCGAUGCAGCUGAGCUCUUUUCUAUAAUAAUUAGCUAUUUGUGUCUCUUGUUUUAUGAACUGCCUGCUUACGUCUUCUUGUUUUGAGAUGUAUUUUCAUAUUGACUUGUAGGAAUUAUUUAUAUAUUAAGGAUAGUAACCCAUUACCUAUUCUGUAUGGUACAAAUAAUUUUUCCUUUAUUUGCCUUUUUUCCUCUUAUGUUGGUUGAUCAUGUAUUAUUUGAUCUUUGUGUCUGUGCACACAUACCUAAAUAUAUACACACGUUAUGUACACAUACACUUUCAUAAAAAUAUUACUAGAAAUCCCACACCUUAAUCCCAGGGAAAAUCGCUGUUAUAUUUUUUGAUAUCUAUUUGAACAGAUCUUUUUCCCACAAAAUGAUAUAUGUACAUAGUUAUGUAAACUGGGAUAUUAUGUAGACUACCCAGUGAUCUGUUUUAACACUUGACAGUAUAGAUUAGUUUUUAUGUAAAUAUAUCUUGAUCAUUAUUUGUGACAAUUGCAUUGUAUUCUAGCUUAUGAAGGUAACUUAU